GAUUAACGCUGGCGGCGUGCAUAACACAUGCAAGUCGAACGAUGAAACUUUAAUGACCCCUUCGGGGAGAAUUAAAGCGGAUUAGUGGCGAACGGGUGAGUAACGCGUGAGUAACCUGCCUUACACAAGGGGAUAGCCUUUGGAAACGAAGAAUAAUACCCUAUAAAACCAUAAAAGCACAUGCAAUUAUGGUCAAAGUGAUAGCGGUGUAAGAUGGACUUGCGUCUGAUUAGCUAGUUGGUGAGAUAAAAGCCCACCAAGGCAACGAUCAGUAGCCGGCUUGAGAGGGUGUACGGCCACAUUGGGACUGAGACACGGCCCAGACUCCUACGGGAGGCAGCAGUGGGGAAUUUUGCACAAUGGGGGAAACCCUGAUGCAGCGACGCCGCGUGAUUUAGAAGGCCUUCGGGUUGUAAAAAUCUUUUGUAUAGGAAGAAAAUGACAGUACUAUACGAAUAAGGUCCGGCUAAUUACGU
rnacentral:rRNA from 1 species